GGUGCUAUAGUCCAGUGGCAAGAUGCGUGCUUCGGGAGCAUGAGACCCGAGUUCGAUCCUCGGUAGCGCCC
rfam:Nosema ceranae BRL01 Nc000017, whole genome shotgun sequence.